rnacentral:lncRNA from 1 species
UUUUUGAUGUGAUGGUAAAUGGGAUUGUUUCUCUAAUUUCUCUUUCUGAUCUUUUAUUGUUAGUAUAUAGAAAUGCAAUCAUUCUUUUUUUAUUUUAUGAUUUUUAUUUUAUCCAUUAUAGUUGGUUUACAGUAUCCUGACACUUGAUUCCUGUAUAUUAAUUUUGUAUCUUGCCACUUUUUCUGAAUUCAUUUAUGAGCUCUAACAGUUUUAUGGUAGCAUCUUUAGGAUUUUCUGGGUAUAGCAUGUCAUCUGCAAACAGUGAUAGUUUCUACUUCUUCCUUUCCAAUUUGGAUUCCUUUUAUUUCUUUUUCUUCUCUGAUUGCCAUGGCUAGGACUUCCAGAACUAUGUUGAAUAGAAGCAGCAAAAGUGGAUAUCCUUGUCUUGCUCUGGAUCUUAGUGGAAAUUCUUUCAGCUUUUCACCAUUGAGUAUGAUGUUAACUGCAGGUUUGUCAUGUAUGCCUUUAUUAUGUUGAGGUAGGUUCCCUCUAUGCCCACUUUCUAGAGGAUUUUUAUCAGUAAUGGGUGUUGGACUUUGUCAAAAGCUUUUUCUGCAUCUAUUGAGAUGAUCAUAUGGUUUUUAUUCUUCAGUUUGUUAAUGUGGCAUAUCACACCAAUUAAUUUGUGGAUAUUGAAAAAUCCUUGCAUCUCUGGGAUAAAUUCCACUUGAUCAUGGUGUAUGAUCCUUUUAAUAUAUUGUUGGAUUCAGUUUGCUAGUAUUUUGUUGAGGAUUUUUGCAUCUAUGUUCAUCAGUGAUGUUGGCCUGCAAUUUUCUUUUUUUGUGAUAUCUUUGUCUGGUUUUAGGAUCAGGGUGAUGAAAUAGGGUAAAUUCUUAAAAGUAUAAAAAUUUUGUCAAAGUUAUGGCUUUCUUAUAUAAGCUUCUUAAAGCUUAUGAUCUGAAUUGCAUGUUAGCUUUCCUUAAAGAUUGUAUCAAGUUCUAUUUACACAAGCUCUGUUUGCAAAUGUUCACUUGAAUAUCACAAUCCUCAAUGCUGAUCAUUAUAAUUAAAAUCAUUUCUGAAUAUUAAAGGAAAAUGUUUUAUUUAUAUUUCUUGAUAGCAUUUUUUUCAUUUUAAUUAAAACUUUUUUGGAAUAAAUUGUUUUGGUUAUCCAUUGCCAGUUUAUCUACUGCAGUUUUAGCAUUUUCUUGAUGAAUGUUAAUGACCAUAAAUUAGGUUAUAUUUUGCUGAAAAUUAUUUUUUAUAGUUUUAAUUUUGAAGAAGCCAAGCCUGUUUUAUUAGAGAUACUAUGUUCCUACUAGCAUUAGUGGGACACUGAGGAAUGUGAAAACAGUGUUUCUCUGCAUCUGAUUUACAGAGAGCUUAUUGCUAACACAUAUACAUGAGAAUUAGACAGGCUAAGUGAUUUAAAAAAAAAGUCAAUGCCAUUUAUCAGUGGGUAUUUGAUUUACUACAUAUGAAUAUAUUUACCAAGUGUCCAAAGCAUGGCACUGAAUAUGAAGCAAAUUUUGGGUGUUUCAUUGGGGCUUUUUUGGCUGCUUUGUACAGCACAUGGAAAUUCCUGGGCCAGGGAUCAGAUAUCCAAGCUGCAGUUUUGACCUAUACCACUGCUGCAUCAAUGCUGGAUUCUUAACACACUAUGUGGGCCAAGGAAUUGAACCUGUGUCCCAUUGCUCCAGAGACACCAUCAGUCUCAUUGAACCACAGCAGGAACUCCUGAAGCACAUUUUAAAACACUUCUUAAGGAAUUCACUAGUGGUGCAGCAAGUUAAGGAUCUAGCAUUGUCACUGCAGCAGCUUGGGUCCCUGCUGUGGUAUGGGUUCGAUCCCUGGCCCUGGGAACUUCCAUAUGUAGUGGGCACGACAAAAAACAAACAAACAAACAAAAACCCAAAACCCCAAACCUUUCUUCCAUUCAUAUUCCAUGAUGCAAUAUAAAUUUCCUUAUGGUAUUAUUUCUGUUUGUUUGUUUUUUAGGGCUGCACCUGCAGCAUUUGGAAGUUCCCAGGCUAGGGGUCAAAUUGGAGCUACAGCUGCCAGCCACAGCCACAUCAGCAUGGGACCUGAGCUGUGUCUGCGACCUACACCACAGCUCACAGCAAUGCUGGAUCCUUAACUCACUGACCUAGGCCAGGGAUUGAACCUGCAUCUUCAUGGAUACUAGCCAGGCUCAUUACCACUGGACCACAACAGGAACUCCUCCUUAUGGUAUUUUUUAUAUGGGCAUUCUUUCAACUCCAGAGUCACAUACACAUAGACAUACUGCAGAAAUUUAAAAGUUAUAAUUAUGCUAGGUCUGUUAUGAAAUUGAAAAAUUUGAAAUGUAAAGAUUCUUCCUUAAGCACAUUGUCUUCCUUCUGCAAGUUUUCCUAACAUAAAAGCUUUCUCUUCCUUUCUCAAAAAUGUGAAAACCCAUGGUGUCCAACCCUGUUUACCAAAUAGUAUUAAAUUAUAUUGUAUAGCAUAACCAAAUAGAUUCUUUUUAUUUUCUGUAGUGAGUUCAUCUUAUGGUUAUUCAACCAAUGCUCAGUUUCACUUUAAGAAACAUGUCCUAUAGGCUGAGAUACCUGAAUCUCAGUUUUUGUCACGAGUGAUAUAAUCUUAUAUACAGUCUGUCAUUACAGCAAUAUACUCUGCAGAAAUAAAUGCUUUAUGUGCAGUUAUUUUUAUAUUUGGCUAAACCUGCUCACCCUUCUUUCAAUACUAUAACUCUUGAGGGAAGAGAUGUGCCUUACCUAUCAGUCCAUCCCUGCAAGAAGUCUUGAUGUGAAUUUUUGCUUUAAUAAAUUGAGUCAUCUUGGUUUUCCAUUUAUCUUAAAAUUAUUUAAAAAUAACUAUCAACUCUACCCUGCUUAAAAAAAAUAAACAAAACUCUCAAAUAAAAAAAAAAUCUUGUGACAGGAUAUACCCACAUUCCAUAAUCCCGAGAGUUCAUUUUCUUUUUCUUUUUUUCCUGUGGUAAUGAGAUUUAUUUAUUUAAUUUUAUGGAGUAUGGUUGACUUACAAUAUUGUAUUAGUUUCAGGUGUACUGCAAAGCGAAUCAGUCAUACAUAUAAAUAUAUCCAUUCUUUUUUUCCCAUCUAGGUAAUUACACACUAUUGAGUGGAUUUUCCUGUGGUAAAGUGGUGCUGGUUAAUCAUCUAUUUUAUACAGUAGUGUGUAUAUGUUAUUUCCACCCUCCCAAUUCUUCCACCCCCCUCCCAUGGUUUUAUCUAUGGUAACCAUAAGAUUAUUUUGAAAUCUGUGAGUUUGUUUCUGUUUCAUAAAUAAGAUCUUUUGUGUCAUUUUUAUUAGAUGCCAUGUAGAAAUGAUACCAUAUGAUAUUUGUCUUUCUCUGUAGAGGUCUUCUAAUGUCUAAUUUAAAUUCUCCCUGCUGUAAUUUGCAUCUGCCCCAUGAGACUAAGAAUAAUUUUUCUAUCUUUUAUGUAGGAAUCCUUUUCAUACUCAGAAACAAGUCAGUAUCUCUCUCUCUCUCUUUUUUUUUUUUUUUUUUUUUUUGUCUUUUUGCCUUUUCUUGAGCCGCUCCCUCUGUAUAUGGAGGUUCCCAGGCUAGGGGUCGUAUUGGAGCUAUAGCCGCUGGCCUACACCAGAGCCACAGCAACACAGGAUCCAAGCCGCAUCUGCGACCUACACCACACCUCACGGCAAUGCCGGAUCCUUAACCCGCUGAGCGGCGGCCAGGGACCGAACCCACAACCUCAUGGUUGCUAGUCGGAUUUGUUAACCAUUGCGCCACGAUGGGAACUCCAAAUCAGUCUCUCUUAAACCUUCUUUAUUUCAGAUCGUAUACAUUCAACUCUUUUCACUCACACUCCUCAGUGCUGUGCUUUGAAUUGUAUCUGUCCUUCACAAUGGACUUUCUCCGUGUUGCCAUACAAAAUGUUACAAAGGUUCUGACAAAUACAUUGCUGUUUGCACAGUGUUAAAUCAUUUGUAUGCUUGUGGGAUCCAGCGGUCAAGAAGUCAUGAAAACAAAAGCAAACAUAGAACAUGAAAAAAAAAUAGUAAAGACCUAAUAACCACCCCAAACAACCCUUUGGAAAAAAAAUCAGGUAUCAGAGGGUUUGCUUAAUAUGGUGGGUUUUUUUGUUGUUCUUUUUUUGUUUUUGUUAUUCAUCCUGUGAGCUUUAUAGUGGGAAAUAUUUCUGCUUCCACGGUGUACUGAUAUAAAUAACUAAGAAAAGGAGUUCCCAUUAUGGCUCAGUAGUAACAAACCCAACUAGUAUCCUGGAGGACGUGGGUUCUAUCCCUGGCCACUCAGUGGGUUAAGGAUUUGGCAUUGCCGUGAGCUGUGGCGUAGGUCGCAGAUGUNUCUGGCAUUGCUGUGGCUCUGGCAUAGGCUGGCGACUACAACUCCAGUUAGACCCCUACCCUGGGAACUUCCAUAUGCUACGGGUGCAGUUCUAAAAAAAUAAAGACAAAAAAAAAAGUAAUUAAGAAUAAAGUAC